UGGGGAAUAUUGCACAAUGGGCGAAAGCCUGAUGCAGCAACGCCGCGUGAGCGAUGAAGGCCUUCGGGUCGUAAAGCUCUGUCCUCAAGGAAGAUAAUGACGGUACUUGAGGAGGAAGCCCCGGCUAACUACGUGCCAGCAGCCGCGGUAAUACGUAGGGGGCUAGCGUUAUCCGGAUUUACUGGGCGUAAAGGGUGCGUAGGCGGUCUUUCAAGUCAGGAGUGAAAGGCUACGGCUCAACCGUAGUAAGCUCUUGAAACUGUAAGACUUGAGUGCAGGAGAGGAGAGUGGAAUUCCUAGUGUAGCGGUGAAAUGCGUAGAUAUUAGGAGGAACACCAGUUGCGAAGGCGGCUCUCUGGACUGUAACUGACGCUGAGGCACGAAAGCGUGGGGAGCAAAC
rnacentral:rRNA from 1 species